rnacentral:lncRNA from 1 species
UCACCUCUCUCUCUUAUGCAACAACACCAAAUUUGUGAGAAUGAAAUCCCAAAUCAAUCAAAACAACCAAAAAGAGGGAAAAUAUAAGACAGGAUUUGUAGCACUACGUGAGGUUUGAUUGCAGAGUAUAAGACCGGAUUUGAAGGUCAGUGAAUUUGUACCAAUUGAUGAUAUUGUUGUUUUUUUCGAUAAUAAAUUAGCGUUUCUGUCGUUGCAUGAUAAUAUAAUUGCCUAGAUUUGGAAUCACAAAUUUGUUUUAUAUACGUGCGCUUUGAUGUGAUUGUACAAACAGAAAUAACUUUCUAAUCAAAAUCAACAGGUAAUAUAUCAAACCUACCAAAUUGUGUAUCCAAUCUCCUUGAAAUUUGGUUUUGUAUGAUUAUUGACUCUGUGAGCUUCUUCUCCUUGAAUCAGAUAUUGAUAAUCUACACAUGCAUAUUAUGUUUUAAUAUUAAAGGUUGAUGUAUAAGAAGAUGACAAAUUGGUGAUUGUUUUGUAGAAUGGAAAGGCUGGUUGUGAAACGUUUUAAUGGAGACAGCCAUUAUUUCUCUGUUCUUUCCCCCCAAAUCUUGUAUGGAAACCAUGAAACUCUCAACCUUUCCUUUUUGCAUAAAUAUUUAGCAUUGAGUGUCAAUAGCUGCGGCGGUUUGCUAUGCUUGGACGAUUGCAAUGGCCAGAUUGUUCUUUGCAACCUAACAACUCAAGAGCUGAAAUACCUUCCUCCGUCCAACGUGGCACGCCCUCCCGGUAUAAGUCGGAC